AACGAACGCUGGCGGCAGGCCUAACACAUGCAAGUCGAACGCCCCGCAAGGGAAGUGGCAGACGGGUGAGUAACGCGUGGGAACCUUCCCAGUGGUACGGAAUAACUGACCGAAAGGUUGGCUAAUACCGUAUACGCCCGAAAGGGGAAAGAUUUAUCGCCAUUGGAUGGGCCUGCGUCGGAUUAGCUAGUUGGUGAGGUAAUGGCUCACCAAGGCGACGAUCCGUAGCUGGUCUGAGAGGAUGAUCAGCCACGCUGGGACUGAGACACGGCCCAGACUCCUACGGGAGGCAGCAGUGGGGAAUAUUGGACAAUGGGCGCAAGCCUGAUCCAGCCAGGCCGCGUGAGUGAUGAAGGUCUUCGGAUUGUAAAACUCUUUCGCCGGGGAAGAUAAUGACGGUACCCGGAGAAGAAGCUCCGGCUAACUUCGUGCCAGCCGCCGCGGUAA
rnacentral:rRNA from 1 species